ACAUUUCAAUUGAAGUACAGAAAUAAUUGAUUUUACGGAUUAUGUCUGUUUAUAUUGGGUCGUAGUUCACAACUUAAAAUCAAACGAGAGAGAAAAUGAUAGUGGUAACAGUUUACAAUAAGAUUUUAGAAGUUACAUGACUUAACAUGAACUUCACAACACUUACAGCCAUUUAUUAAUCUUAGCUAAUGUCGAUCUCAAUUGACUUCCCAUUGGGCCCCAUGACGUCCAUGGUAUGGAAAAAAAAACACUAAGCCAAUGGGGACAUUGCCGACAUUCUUCGAAAUAUCUUCUUUUGUGAUCAGUAAAAUAAAUUUGGAACAUCUUGAGGAAUCUCAUGGGCGGAACUUGGGACUUGAUUGACGCCUCCUACGACCAGCAGGCGAUCACGGAUCACGAUGCUUGAGGCAGAGCAACGUGGCGUUGACAUGGGCGACAGCCUUUCCCAUUUUCUUUUUUCGGGAUUGAAGGCUUCAACAGUGUCCAGCACUGAUGGCUGAUGGCCUGUAAAAGGAGAGCAGAUGUUUUGAUGACACCAACCGAGACAGCAACUGUGCGGUAGAUAAAUAUAUUAUGAUGCAACUUCCAUACCUAGACCUCCCGCCACGAUCAUUCUGCCUCGCACUAUGGCUGCAGCAAAGUCUGCUCGCUUGGUCUUCAAGGGCACGGUGUCCUCUGAUUUCAACCAAGUUCCUAUAAAAACAAAGCGGACACAAACAAAUAGCAAUAAUAAAGUGCAAAAUAUUAAAGGUGAAGUGUGUAAUAUCUGCACCACAAGCAGCAAUUUGCAAGAUGUCCUUCUAAUAAUGUCUUGCGUAUUGUUUGUACAUUAAUUUGGGUUUUUCAGCUUUGAAUAAAUUACAAAAUACUCACCAUUAACCCUGUGUGAUUUAAAAUCUGACAUAUUACAUCAGAUUUAUACAAUGAGUGAAAGAAAAUUAACAGGCUUUUACAGUAUUAUAUGAUUUAAAAACGGUUUUGUUUGACAGCUUUUCCUAAAGUGUCUAAAGAGGAAAUACAAAUAAAGGACUUUCCUGCAGAUUAGAGUCUGGGUGCUUGUCGAUUAGAGUUGACAGACUGUUUUCCAUUUGCAGAAUCUAAUAUACGUCUAAUAACUAAGCCGAUAGCUUGCUGUAAUAAAUGCAAUGACCAUUUUUUCAAAACUUACUGAGCUAGAACGCUUUAAUUGCUUUGAAAAGGAAGUUAGAUUUGAGCAGCUUUCUGUGUUUCACAGAUGUAGAAUGUUAAUUUGGCACAUUAUUUACAACAACCUAAUCUGCCAAAAGCACAAUCAAAGCCAAUAACACAGAGACCACAUUAGAAUAAUGAUGGUUGUUUGAGAGUUGCCAACUCCUUUCACCAUUCAUGUUUGCACGCUUGAUUGCAAAGACACGUAUGCAGAUGCUCACAGCACUUGUGUGUGUAUGAAUAAAUUUAAAGCAACACCUAACUUUUGUCAUUACAGGAAUUUUUUAACAGAUCAAGCAAUCUUGGAAUGCAAGUGAUAUGAAA